UAUCGGAUACUGGGCGUAAGCGUGUGUAGGCGGUUCGGAAAGAAAGAUGUGAAAUCCCAGGGCUCAACCUUGGAACUGCAUUUUUAACUGCCGAGCUAGAGUAUGUCAGAGGGGGGUAGAAUUCCACGUGUAGCAGUGAAAUGCGUAGAUAUGUGGAGGAAUACCGAUGGCGAAGGCAGCCCCCUGGGAUAAUACUGACGCUCAGACACGAAAGCGUGGGGAGCAAACAGGAUUAGAUACCCUGGUAGUCCACGCCCUAAACGAUGUCAACUAGCUGUUGGGGCCGUUAGGCCUUAGUAGCGCAGCUAACGCGUGAAGUUGACCGCCUGGGGAGUACGGUCGCAAGAUUAAAACUCAAAGGAAUUGACGGGGACCCGCACAAGCGGUGGAUGAUGUGGAUUAAUUCGAUGCAACGCGAAAAACCUUACCUACCCUUGACAUGUCUGGAAAGCCGAAGAGAUUUGGCCGUGCUCGCAAGAGAACCGGAACACAGGUGCUGCAUGGCUGUCGUCAGCUCGUGUCGUGAGAUGUUGGGUUAAGUCCCGCAACGAGCGCAACCCUUGUCAUUAGUUGCUACGCAAGAGCACUCUAAUGAGACUGCCGGUGACAAACCGGAGGAAGGUGGGGAUGACGUCAAGUCCUCAUGGCCCUUAUGGGUAGGGCUUCACACGUCAUACAAUGGUCGGGACAGAGGGUCGCCAACCCGCGAGGGGGAGCCAAUCUCAGAAACCCGAUCGUAGUCCGGAUCGCAGUCUGCAACUCGACUGCGUGAAGUCGGAAUCGCUAGUAAUCGCGGAUCAGAAUGUCGCGGUGAAUACGUUCCCGGGUCUUGUACACACCGCCCGUCACACCAUGGGGAGUGGGUUUCACCAGAAGUAGGUAGCCUAACCGCAAGGAGGGCGCUUACCACGGUGGGAUUCAUGACUGGGGUGA
rnacentral:rRNA from 1 species